rnacentral:rRNA from 1 species
UACGGAGGGUGCAAGCAUUAAUCGGAUUUAUUGGGCGUAAAGGGCGCGUAGGCGGAAAGAUAAGUCAGAUGUGAAAUCCUGAGGCUCAACCUCAGAACAGCAUUUGAAACUAUUUUCCUUGAGGGUAGGCGGAGAAAACGGAAUUCCACAAGUAGCGGUGAAAUGCGUAGAUAUGUGGAAGAACACCGGUGGCGAAGGCGGUUUUCUAGCUUAUUCCUGACGCUGAGGCGCGAAAGUAAGGGGAUCAAACAGG